rfam:Dipodomys ordii contig_49630, whole genome shotgun sequence.
GGUGGCUCAGUGGUAGAGUGCUUACCUUACAUGCAUGAGGCCCUGGGUUCAAUUCCUCAGCACCA